CGUGAUUAUCUAGAGAGGAAGAUCUUCUCAUUACUCCUCCUUCAGCACAAACAUGUUGUCUUCAGUUCCACUGCUUCUUCUGGCUCUCUUCUCCUAUGUGUUCUGUGCUACUGAGCUCAUCCAGCCAGACUCAGUGCUUCUAAAGCCAGGAGAGACUUUAUCCAUCACCUGUAGAGUGUCUGGAGUUUCUAUCACUGAUAGCAGCAACCACUAUGGAACAGCUUGGAUUCGACAACCUGCAGGAAAAGCUCUGGAAUGGAUUGUAAACAUCUAUUAUGAUGGGAGCACUGCCUACAGUGAGAAACUGAAAAGCAGGUUUCAGGUUACCAGAGACACGUCCAGCAACACAGUAACAUUAACAGGACAGAACAUGCAGACUGAAGACACAGCUGUGUAUUACUGCGCUCGUGAUGGACAAAGUCCUCAGUGA